GUUGGUUACGGUGACAUUUAUCCACAAACUCCUUGGGGUAAACUAGUUGGAAGUCUCUGUUGCAUCUGUGGAGUGCUCGUGAUAGCCAUGCCUAUUCCAAUCAUAGUGAACAAC
rfam:Helobdella robusta unplaced genomic scaffold HELROscaffold_4, whole genome shotgun sequence.